rnacentral:piRNA from 1 species
ACCCCUNUUAACCACAGGCUAGCUGAUUGC